rnacentral:rRNA from 1 species
AUUGAACGCUGGCGGCAGGCUUAACACAUGCAAGUCGAGCGGAAACGAUGGUAGCUUGCUACCAGGCGUCGAGCGGCGGACGGGUGAGUAAUACUUAGGAAUCUACCUAGUAGUGGGGGAUAGCUCGGGGAAACUCGAAUUAAUACCGCAUACGACCUACGGGAGAAAGGGGGCAGUUUACUGCUCUCGCUAUUAGAUGAGCCUAAGUCGGAUUAGCUAGAUGGUGGGGUAAAGGCCUACCAUGGCGACGAUCUGUAGCUGGUCUGAGAGGAUGAUCAGCCACACCGGGACUGAGACACGGCCCGGACUCCUACGGGAGGCAGCAGUGGGGAAUAUUGGACAAUGGGGGAAACCCUGAUCCAGCCAUGCCGCGUGUGUGAAGAAGGCCUUUUGGUUGUAAAGCACUUUAAGCAGUGAAGAAGACUCCGUGGUUAAUACCCACGGACGAUGACAUUAGCUGCAGAAUAAGCACCGGCUAACUCUGUGCCAGCAGCCGCGGUAAUACAGAGGGUGCAAGCGUUAAUCGGAAUUACUGGGCGUAAAGGGAGCGUAGGUGGCUCGAUAAGUCAGAUGUGAAAUCCCCGGGCUCAACCUGGGAACUGCAUCUGAUACUGUUGAGCUAGAGUAUGUGAGAGGAAGGUAGAAUUCCAGGUGUAGCGGUGAAAUGCGUAGAGAUCUGGAGGAAUACCGAUGGCGAAGGCAGCCUUCUGGCAUAAUACUGACACUGAGGCUCGAAAGCGUGGGUAGCAAACAGGAUUAGAUACCCUGGUAGUCCACGCCGUAAACGAUGUCUACUAGUCGUUGGGUCCCUUGAGGACUUAGUGACGCAGCUAACGCAAUAAGUAGACCGCCUGGGGAGUACGGCCGCAAGGUUAAAACUCAAAUGAAUUGACGGGGGCCCGCACAAGCGGUGGAGCAUGUGGUUUAAUUCGAUGCAACGCGAAGAACCUUACCUGGUCUUGACAUAUCUAGAAUCCUGCAGAGAUGCGGGAGUGCCUUCGGGAAUUAGAAUACAGGUGCUGCAUGGCUGUCGUCAGCUCGUGUCGUGAGAUGUUGGGUUAAGUCCCGCAACGAGCGCAACCCUUGUCCUUAGUUACCAGCGGGUUAAGCCGGGAACUCUAAGGAUACUGCCAGUGACAAACUGGAGGAAGGCGGGGACGACGUCAAGUCAUCAUGGCCCUUACGACCAGGGCUACACACGUGCUACAAUGGUAGGUACAGAGGGCAGCUACACAGCGAUGUGAUGCGAAUCUCAAAAAGCCUAUCGUAGUCCAGAUUGGAGUCUGCAACUCGACUCCAUGAAGUAGGAAUCGCUAGUAAUCGCGGAUCAGAAUGCCGCGGUGAAUACGUUCCCGGGCCU